rnacentral:rRNA from 1 species
UACGGAGGGUGCAAGCGUUAUCCGGAUUUAUUGGGUUUAAAGGGUGCGUAGGCGGCUUAUUAAGUCAGGGGUGAAAGACGGUGGCUCAACCAUCGCAGUGCCCUUGAUACUGAUGAGCUUGAAUACACUUGAGGUAGGCGGAAUGUGACAAGUAGCGGUGAAAUGCAUAGAUAUGUCACAGAACACCAAUUGCGAAGGCAGCUUACUAAGGUGCAAUUGACGCUGAGGCACGAAAGCGUGGGGAUCAAACAGG